ensembl:lncRNA
UACUGUAUAAAAUUAUGACCCUCAGUUUUAGUACUGACCAUUUGCCAAGGUAACACAUUAAAUCUAGUUACAGUUUGAUAGUGUGGUACUCUGUGCUUUGUCAGUGUGUCUAUUCCACUUUACGCACUGAAGUCCAUGCUUUGAUUACAGUAUUUUUUAUUCUAAAAGUUACUUAGGAUUUGUGAAGAUUGCCUGUUUUUUUUUGUUUGUGUUUGUUUGACUUUGCUUUUUGCCAUUCUYUUUUUUCAAUAGCUUUCAUAAAAUGGUCAAAUUCACCUGGAAACAUACAGGGACUCCAGAAUGGUACCACAGCUUUGCACCUAAGAGAAUUUAUGCUUAUAGGUUACUAGAACAUUUUUCAAUACCCCAUUUUAAUUGAGACAAAGGUUAGUAAACUUGUUUGCUAUAGUGGGCCUCAUUCUGUUGCCUUACACCACCAUCAUGUCCUUUAGUUUAGUCAGUCUUGUUUUAUACCAGCGUACACCUUACCUAAACUCAAUGAUCCACCACAGCCAUUAGAUCAAAAUGCAAGACUUUAUAGUGAACUGUGAAAAUGUUUUUCUAGAACUAGUGAGUAGAUUCUGUGCAACAAUUGUUGGUGGCAAGUACCGAAUAUUGGAAAUCUCUGCAUUACUUCCAUGAACAUUACACAUGCCUCAGCUUACUAAAGCGCAUGGCAGCAAGUCAUUAUAAGCUGUGGGAGGAUGCAGGGAAACGCCAGUACAGAGAAGCUAUCUUCAGUGAGAAGUAACACAGGGUCCACAAGCAGCAUGGAAACUACUAACUAAAAAUGCCUCUUGUUAGGCUUAACCCAAAGUAAAUGCAGUACUCCAGGACUGAAGACCUGGCCUGGGCAGCUAACAGACAACAUAAUCAAGACAAGAGUUCCUGACACAGAGACUGAGAAAAUGAUUCCAGGCUCCUCUGUUUAGUUGACAGUGUGGCCCCAAGUAAAUGUCAGCCCAACGGAUGGYGAGGGAUCCCUUUGCUGCUGACCUAGCAUGCUGCGAGACUGUGGCCUGGGGAAAGCUGAGAGAAGCAGUUCAGCCAGCGCAGAUGUUCUCUGAGCACUCAGCUCCAAGAGUCAAGAACGCACCAAAGCAGACUGACAGGUAGUUUCCUAUGCAGUAAUGGCAAAUCGGGGGGAAAAAAAAAAAAGAAAAUCUACUGAGUGAAGUUGGGUAAGAAAUACUUUUCACAUUCGAUGAUCUUACUUGCAAUUUCAAAUAUUGUUUUGGUUAUCUUGAACAAAGUGAAGGUUUUCUGAAGAUUUUAAAAGGCAAGUGUGAUUGGGUGGUGGCUAGGCAAUCUUCUAGAAUGUAUCUGACGCAGUUUCAAAUCACUGUUUCGCAUCAAUCUAAUGCAGGGGGUUGACAAUACAAAGGGGUGUCCUACCCACAAAAUAAUUGUGCAGAUGUUCAUUAUGAGAAUUUUCCCAAUUUAUAUAGAGAAUUAAAUAUUAGUGGGUCAGAACAGGACCCUGUAUUCUACUAACAGUAGUCAUGUGGGACAGUAAAACCYGAGUUUAAGUCCGUGCUUCAAUUCAGCUACCAUAGAGAUAAGACAGCCUUCAGCCWCUGGGCUACUGGACUGGGCUAUCCCAGUGGAGCAGUUCCAUAGUUAGACAUUAAUUUGUGAUGUUGCAGAUUAUCUGAUCAUGUUAUGUUGCAGACUGGAGAUCCUCCUCUGAGGCUUGUUCAUCCUGAAGUAGAGUCGAGUCACCUAAUGGAGACCGACACCCAUACUAGGGCAGCUUGCUUGUCCUGCUAGCCUCCCUCUAUAGUCGCUGGUGAAACAGGACUCCCAGGAAGGAAAUUCAAAGAUUUCCAUUAGGUCCUGACUCUGAACUGAUUUUGAGAGACUGAACUGACAGGACCAUUAGGUCCUGACUUUGGAGGAGCCUCUUUCCCCAUGGACUACACACAGACAUGCUCGGACUCCUACCUGAGUCAGAGUGUGAACAUGCCUCAGACUCCUAUGACAAAAUAACCAAAGCAGCUUGUCAAGGCACGCAUGAAGGUGGCAAAAGUUUAAAUCCUAAUAUGAAUUAAAAAGACUGGGGACUUCUUCAAUACCCCAGGUAAGUAAGUGCUAAAUAGUAAAUAGUAUCUCUCUCUCUUUUGAUCAGAAAGUCUAUCCUAUAAUGCAGAAAACUUAACAAAUGUGUUUGUUGUUAGAAUAGACAUGGCUCUCUGAAAAGCAACAGUGUCAUUUUCCAAGGAAAAAAUAUUAAACAGACGUUUUUCCCACUUUUCACUAUGGUUUGUUAUACUCRUGAAAUUUUACUCAGUCUACUCUGUCUUACCAUGCAUUUCACAUCUCAGCUGAGCCUCAUGACUUCUUAAGGGUCUUAAGAGUGAAAUUCAGCAUUCUGUCUCACUAUUUUCCCCAUAUGUUUUGCUCUCUCUUUUUUCCCCUUUUUCUUCUCUUUCCUUUUCCUUUCAUCCAUCCUAGAUUUUCUUUUUUUUUCUUUUUUGUUUUUCCACUAUCUGCUUUAAAACUCAGGGCCAGAUUGUGAGCAGUUGCUCACAGAAACAUUCGCAUUGUCGUUAGUAAUAGCUAAUGUGACUGCUCAUUAGUGGUAGCUGUUCACAGUCUGGUCCAUGUGAUUUAGCUUUGUUUCCUUUGUAAGAAAAGCUACUGAUUUUCUUUCUACAGCCCACAUCACUCUUCAGCUUGUUAUUCCUCCCCCAAUUUUAUAUAUAUAUAUAUAUAUAUAUAUAUAUAUAUAUAUAUAUAUUUUAUACACACACACACUCACCCCUGUGUGUUUAUUCUCUUUCAAUCUGUGUUAAAUAAAAUCUUAGGCAUUCACA